AACGAACGCUGGCGGCAGGCUUAACACAUGCAAGUCGAACGGUUGUAGCAAUACAGCAGUGGCAGACGGGUGAGUAACACGUGGGAACCUUCCUAGGGGUACGGAACAACUCAGGGAAACUUGAGCUAAUACCGUAUACGUCCGUGAGGAGAAAGAUUUAUCGCCCUUAGACGGGCCCGCGUCGGAUUAGCUAGUUGGUGGGGUAACGGCCCACCAAGGCGACGAUCCGUAGCUGAUCUUAGAGGAUGAUCAGCCACACUGGGACUGAGACACGGCCCAGACUCUUACGGGAGGCAGCAGUGUGGAAUCUUGGACAAUGGGCGCAAGCAUGAUCCAGCCAUGCCGCGUGAGUGAAGAAGGUCUUCGGAUUGUAAAGCUCUUUUACCAGGGACGAUAAUGACGGUACCUGGAGAAUAAGCCCCGGCAAACUUCGUGCCAGCAGCCGCGGUAAUACGAAGGGGGCCAGCGUUGUUCGGAAUUACUGGGCGUAAAGCGCACGUAGGCGGGUCGUUAAGUCAGGGGUGAAAUCCCGGAGCUCAACUCCGGAACUGCCUUUGAUACUGGCGAUCUUGAGAUCGGAAGAGGUGAGUGGAAUUCCCAGUGUAGAGGUGAAAUUCGUAGAUAUGGGAAGAACACCAGUGCGAAGGCGGCUCACUGUCCGAUAC
rnacentral:rRNA from 1 species